rnacentral:rRNA from 1 species
AGAGUUUGAUUAUGGCUCAGGAUGAACGCUAGCUACAGGCUUAGCACAUGCAAGUCGAGGGGCAGCGGGAGAGUAGCUUGCUACUCUUGCCGGCGACCGGCGAAUGGGUGAGUAACGCGUAUCCAACCUGCCACAUGCCCGGGAAUAGCCCUUGGAAAUGAGGAUUAAGUCCCGAUAUGCUUAUUUGUCGCAUGACAUGUAAGUGAAACAGGCGUGUGAUGGGGAUGCGUCCGAUUAGCUUGCCGGCGGGGUAACGGCCCACCGGGGCUUCGAUCGGUAGGGGUUCUGAGAGGAAGGUCCCCCCACACUGGUACUGAGACACGGACCAGACUCCUACGGGAGGCAGCAGUGAGGAAUAUUGGUCAAUGGGCGAGAGCCUGAACCAGCCAAGUAAGCGUGCAGGAUGACGGCCCUACGGGUUGUAAACUGCUUUUUCCGGGGAAUAACCGGCGUCACGUGUGGCGCCCUGCAUGUACCCGGUGAAUAAGGACCGGCUAAUUCCGUGCCAGCCGCAGC